rnacentral:lncRNA from 13 species
ACUCAGGAGAAGAAAUAAGCAACAAAGUGUGGUAAUAUCCUCCAAUUUGCUCUGAAAGAGGCCCAAUUUUCAAGUGUCCUCACAGACUGCAAGAUUAGGACUCCUGAGCACAGACAGGAAAAGUUAGACCAAAUUUGCCACAAGAGGCUGGAACACAAAGGUGUUGUUGUCAACUGUUUGCCAAGGCAGAGAGGAGGGCAAAGCCAACCCCAAGAAGUUAGUAAAAGCACUAAUGCCUAAUAAUAAUUGCAGCAGAGAGCUUUUUAGGUGCCCCAUUAAAGAGAGUGCUUUGUCCUAAUAAAUACCAGGAUGAGAGUCUGUUCUCAGAGCCCCCUUUCUGUACUUUGUUCUUAAUGAGCCUUCUAAUGAGUGUGCCAUCCUUAUUUCCUUGAGAGACUCAUCACUCCCUAUCUUAGCCUGUUAUUUAAAUAUAUGGCAUGAUGUGGGAAGCUUUUUAUAAAAAGCCCAAGAAAUCUUCUCUAUGCCUUUUUCAAUUGCCUGUGUAACCCCUGCAGGACAGAGGAGGGUGUGUAAACUCUGUUCACAAGAUAAUGGGCUCCUCUACUUGUGUGUGUGUGUGUGUGUGUGUGUGUGUGUGUGUGUGACAGAGAGAGAGUGUGAGAGAGAGAGAGAGAGAGUGUGUGUGUGUGUGUGUGUGUGUGUGUGACAGAGAGAGAGAGAGAGAGAGAGAGUUGCUCUGUAACUGUAACUCAGGCUGGAGUGCAAUGGCGCAAUCUCAGCUCAUUGCAACCUCCACCUCCCAAGAUCAAGUGGUUCUCUGGCCCCAGCCUUCCGAGUAGCUCAGAUUAGAGGCAUGCACCAGCACACCCAGCUAAUUUUUGUAUUUUUAGUAGAGACAGGGUCUCACGAUGAUGCCCAGUCGGGUCUUGAACUCCCAACCUCAGGUGAUCCACCUGCCUUGGCCGCCCAAAGUGCUGGGAUUACAGGCAUGAGCCACCAUACCUGGCCUCCUCUACUUUAAUGAGGAAAAAUUCAUAAGAGCAGAGAAGUAUUGUUAAACUCCAGGGUUGUUACUAGAUAUAUUAGUUAAAAAAGAAAAACAGCACUUAAAUAAUAAUGGCUCCCUGCACUGCUCUUUAACCCUUAAGAAAAUACCAGCUCUUUGCUUCUCAAAGCAAAAGGAAAAGGAUGUCAGGAGGUUUACCUUCGAGCUCAGGACUUGCUUAUUUUAUUUUAUAUUUCAUUGUCAGUUUUCUCCUUCUAUUAUUUAGUAAAUGAAAAUUACCACAGAAAGAAGAGAAUUACCCACAACUCUUAAGAAUUAUUGUGGGUUGUCAACUUGUCCAGAUAGAUGAGGAGUUAAUAAUAUUUUUAAUGGCAAAGUAUUAAAAAAAAUUCUUGUCACAAUCAUAAAGUCAUUAUCUCACCUACCUUUAAAAAUGAGUGGUGGUGGGAGGAGAAAGUACGUGGUAAUUUCUUAAUAUCAUCAAAUACCCAGUCACUGUUUAAAUUUCCCUAAAUGUCUCAUAAUUGUUGGUUAGAAUCAAUAUGUGUCUGAGUCUCUUCUACUUAUAGGUUCUCCCUUAAUCUUAUUUUAUCCAUUGUAAUUUAUUUGUUAAAGAAACUGAGUUUUCAUCCUGUAGAAUUUUCAGGAUUGUGAAUUUUGCUGAUUGUAUUCUUCUGACAUCCUUUAAUGUGCUAUCCUGUAUUUUCUGUAGUUAAAACUAGAAGCUUGUGAUGUUUAAAAAAAUGUCUUUAUGCUUCAGAGAUGCAUGCUGAUUAAAUAAUAUAAUUUCUAGGAUUUCCAGCAAACUGAAACAGUGAGAGUAGGGCUAUAGAGACAAGGGCUAUAGGUGAAACAAUAUUGUACAUGUUGAUAAUUUUUGAACCUGGGAGAUGGACACAUGGAGUUUUCUUUGGUAUAUGUUCAAAUUUUUCUAUAAAUAUAAAGGCUAAUAUAAACUUUAGGCAUUUUAUAUGAAAAUUUCUGAAACACAUCACACAUGUUUUAUCCUUGCUAAACAUUUGAUCUUUUCUUGAAGACGUUCAGUCCUCAUUCUGAACACUAUAGUAUCAUAGCGCAAAUAUCUCAAUAAACUAAAAGAACCUUCUCUUUAUGCA